UCCCGUGUCCAUCCCACUGCAUUCCUCCCAUCCCCGGCGUGUCCCGCGUUCAUCCCAUCCAUCCCCGGCGUGUCCUGCAUCCUUCCCGGCGUGUCCCGCGUUCGUCCCACCGCUCCUUCCCCUCCCCAGCAUGUCCCACAUCCUUCCUGGCGUGUCCUGCGUCCAUCCCACCGCAUCCCAUCCAUCCCCGGCGUGUCCCACAUCCAUCACACCGCAUCCAUCCCAUCGCAUCCCUCCCAUCCCCGGCGUGUUCCGCAUCCCAUCCAGCCCCAGCGUGUUCCUCAUCCUUCCCAGAGUGUCCCGCGUCCCUCCGACCGCAUCCACCCCAUCCCCGGGGUGUCCCACGUCCUUCCCGCCGCUCCUUCCCAUCCUCAGGGCGUCCCGCGUCCUUCCCAGCGUGUCCCACAUCCAUCCCCCCUCAUCUCUCCCAUCCCCGGCGUGUCCCUCAUCCUUCCUGGUGUGUCCCGCGUCCAUCCCGGCAUAUCCCGCAUCCAUCCCGCCGCUCCUUCCCGGCACACCCGAGUGCUCCUCCCCGCCGUGCCCACCUCCAUCCUCCUGGCACGGGCUGGGUCGGUGCAGAGGGUCCCUGGCAGUGCCCCCCGGCUGGGUCAGGGGGUGCUGGAAGGUUUUUGGAGCACACCUGGGGAAUCCCAGUGAUCCCAAAGAUGCUGAGGCUGGGCCAGGGGAGGCAGAUUCUCCUUUCAGGGCCCAGGUGAGGAGGAGGAGGAGGAGGAAGAGGAGGGAGGACUGAGCCUCUCAUUCCCACCCCAGCAUCCCUGGAUCACCUGGAGCAAGGGGAAACUCCCGAGCAUCCAACAAGGAAAAUCAAGGUGGAAUUCUCCUCCCCAGUGUACGCAGAGUGAAUCCCUGGGUUGUCUCCGUGGGUGAAAUCCCUCUCCUGAGCGCUGGGAGGGCAGGAAUUUUGGGAUUUGUGGACACUCUGUGCUGGGGAUGAGGGGGCUGGGGAGGUCUGGCUGUGCCACCCAGGGUGACAGCGACACAAAAAAUGUCACCAGGUGGGCUCAGGUGAGCCCAGGUGGGGAGGAAUCAACACCUGCAGGGCAUGGAGGGGCUGCCCUGGAUCUCUGAGCCACCCUGGGGUCUGCAGGGCUCAGGUCCCGUGGGGGGGGGAGCGUGUCCCUUGCUCGAGCUCACGGGCUCUGUGCGUGGCAGUUAAAUAUAUACAUCUAUUUAAAAAUA